GUGGAUUACUUCUGUUUAAGAUGAAAUUGAAUUUAUAUGUCGUUAGUUUGUUUAAUUUAUUUGCCGAUGAUAGCGAUUAUUCUCUACCCUUUUCAAGUGGGUGAUAACCCUCCACGCCAGUUAGUUGUUCACGACGAUGGAAUCUCGCAACUUGCGACGGAUAUCUGUUGAUAUUCAGCAGUGGUUAUCUUGCGUCUCUCAAGAUCUUUUUUGUUUUUGUUGCCUGUAGGUGUUGAGUUUAACCAGAGAAGGAGCUUCCUGUCCUAUGUUUGUUUGGUUCAAGUGUCUAGAGAAGCCUCGUCCUAUCCUAUCAUGACUUGGGCUCUUUAACUCACUAGAGAGUGCAUUCAUGUUUUAGCCGGUGAGGACGGACAUUUUUGAGGUCUUAUAUCCAACAAUCCUCUUUGACCGCUUGACCCUUUAAAGAACAGAAGCUAUAGGAGCUCUAAACUCUUCAACAGAUAACCAGACACGGUGGAUUUUUGUCUUCUGGGGGCCUUGUCUUACCUAUUUCCUUGAAAGGAUGUAUCUUCAGUGGAAGUUUGUUGGUGGCAUUCCAGUGCGACAGCUUGAGCAUCCUCUUCCAGGUCGAGCGUAGAGGAGUGGGAGACAAGCUGUAAGCAGCGCUGUGCUUAGCUAUCGUCUCUUCUCUUCUAGAGUUUGUUAAUUGCUUAAGCCAGAUUUAUAUUGUAAAGC
rnacentral:misc_RNA from 1 species